ensembl:lncRNA
UUUUUAUUAAAAUUUAUUUUCAUUGUUAAAAUAAUAAACAGACGACAUAUUUAACAAUAAUAAUAACACAAUCAUUGGGAAAAACAUCUAAAGCAGUUCCUGAGAAGAGAGAAAAGAAGAAAAGUUAUUAACAUGUUAAUGUUGUUAGUGUAUCUGUGUGUACAUCUAAUUGUUAGUGUGUCUGUGUGUACAUCUAAAUGUUAGUGUGUCUGUGUGUACAUCUAAAUAUUAAUAUGUCUUUGUGUACAUCUAAAUAUUAGUGUGUGUCUUUGUUUAGUACCGAAUGUUAGUGUGUCUGUGUGUACAUCUAAAUAUUAGUGUGUGUCUUUGUGUACAUCUAAAUGUUAGUGUGUGUCUUUGUUUAUAACCAAAUGUUAGGGUGUCUGUGUGUACAUCUAAUUGUUAGUGUGUCUGUGUGUACAUCUAAUUGUUAGUGUGUCCCGAUGACGUAGCGUCCCGAUGACGUGGCGUCCUGAUGGCGUCCUGAUGGCGUCCUGUUGGUCUGCAGACAAGGAGAAGAGACGUGAGGAGGAUCAUCAGGAUGUGUCCGUGUGUACAUCUAAUUGUUAGUGUGUCUGUGUGUACAUCUAAUUGUUAGUGGGUCUGUGUGUACAUUUAAAUAUUAAUGUGUCCUUGUGCAGAACCAGAUGUUUGUGUGUUUUUGUGUACUUCUGAAUACUAAUGUGUCUGUGUGUACAUCUAAUUGUUAUUGUGUCUUUGUGUACAUCUAAAUAUUAGCGUGUGUCUUUGUUUAGAACCAAAUGAUAGUGUGUCUGUGUGUAUAUCUAAUUGUUAAUGUGUCUUUGUGUACAUCUAAAUGUUAGUGUGUGUCUUUGUUUAGAACCAAAUGUUAGUGUGUCUGUGUGUACAUCUAAUUGUUAGUGUGUCUGUGUGUGGAUCUAAAUAUUAAUGUGUCUUUGUGUACAUCUAAAUGUUAGUCUGUGUCUUUGUUUAGAACCAAAUGAUAGUGUGUCUGUGUGUACAUCUAAUUGUUAUUGUGUCUUUUUGUACAUCUAAAUGUUAGUGUGUGUCUUUGUUUAGAACCAAAUAAUAGUGUGUCUGUGUGUACAUCUAAUUGUACAUCUAAAUUUGCCAGCGUGUCUAAAUGUUAGUGUGUCUCUGAGUACAUCUGUGUGUGUGUGUGUGUGUGUCAUGAGUGGAUCUGGAUUUGCUCCUGAGGGGUUGACGCGGCGUCCUGAUGGAAUCCUGAUGGCGUCCCGAUGACGUGGCGUCCUGAUGACGUAGCGUCCCGAUGACGUGGCGUCCUGAUGGCGUCUUGUUGGUCUGCAGACAAGGAGAAGAGACGUGAGGAGGAUAAUCAGGAUGUGCCUGUGUGUACAUCUAAUUGUUAGUGUGUCUGUGUGUAGAUCUAAUUGUUAGUGUGUCCGUGUCUACAUCUAAUUGUUAGUGCGUCUGUGUGUAGAUCUAAUUGUUAGUGUGUCUGUGUGUAGAUCUAAUUAGUGGGUCUGUGUGUACAUUUAAAUAUUAAUGUGUCUUUGUGCAGAACCAGAUGUUUGUGUGUUUUUGUGUACUUCUGAAUACUAAUGUGUCUGUGUGUACAUCUAAUUGUUAUUGUGUCUUUGUGUACAUCUAAAUAUUAGUGUGUGUCUUUGUUUAGAACCAAAUGAUAGUGUGUCUGUGUGUAUAUCUAAUUGUUAUUGUGUCUUUGUGUACAUCUAAAUAUUAGUGUGUGUCAUUGUUUAGAACCAAAUGAUAGUGUGUCUGUGUGUACAUCUAAAUAUGAAUGUGUCUUUGUGUACAUCUAAAUGUUAGUGUGUGUCUUUGUUUAGAACCAAAUGUUAGUGUGUCUGUGUGUACAUCUAAAUGUUAGUGUGUCUGUGUGUACAUCUAAAAUGUUAUGUGUCUGUGUGUACAUCUAAUUGUUAGUGUGUCUGUGUGUACAUCUAAAUAUUAAUGUGUCUUUGUGUACAUCUAAAUGUUAGUGUGUGUCUUUGUUUAGAACAAAAUGUUAGUGUCUGUGUGUACAUCUGUGUGUGUGUGUGUGUGUGUGGGGGGGGGGGGGUGUCAUGCGUAGAUUUGCUCCUGAGGGGUUGACGUGACGUCCUGAUGGCGUCCCGUUGACGUGGCGUCCUGAUGGCGUCCUGAUGGCGUCCCGUUGGUCUGCAGACAAGGAGAAGAGACGUGAGGAGGAUCAUCAGGAUGUUUCAUCAAGACAAGAUUCAUAGAUCCCAUUAUUUUAAUUUGAUGCACAUUUUAAUUAUUUCAUGUUUGUAUGGAUGUGUAAAUCUACAUUAUAUAUUUGUG